GACACGACUCUCGGCAAUGGAUAUCUCGGCUCUCGCAUCGAUGAAGAGCGCAGCGAAAUGCGAUAUGUGGUGCGAAUUGCAGAAUCCCGCGAACCAUCGAGUUUUGAACGCAAGUUGCGCCCGAGGCCAACCGGCUAAGGGCACGUCCGCCUGGGCGUCAAGC
rnacentral:rRNA from 1 species